UAGAAUUACUCCCGAAUGAAGGGAUAUUGGCUAAAACCCGAGGUGUGUCCUCGAUGAGCCCCGAGCGGGUCUGCUUUGCUCCCUCUUCUUGGAAGAAGGGAUUUAACACCCCUGGGCUGGGCGUCUGCUGGGGCGUGGCCAGGAGGAGGGAGAAUUUCCCUUUUGGCUCCUCCUCCGGAGGAAUUUAACUCUUUUUUUCCCUAUGAAAUCUGGCAGGAGGCGGCGGAGAUGCUGCGUGCUGGGCCGCCUCGGAGACCCGAGUCCCAUCCCCUGGCUGAUUAUCAUUACACAGGCUCGGAUACUUGGACACCGGUGGAGGAGCAAUUGUUUAAAGAGGCUUUUUACCUCCAUAAGAAGAAUUUUCGCCUCAUACAGAAGCAGAUCCAGACUAAAAGCGUGUCUCAGUGUGUUGAAUAUUAUUACACCUGGAAGAAAAAAACCCG